AAAAUCCGUUUAGACAAUGCUAGGAUGUGAUGGGGAAGCCCUUCGGGGCGAAGUAGCUGAUUUCACACUGUCAAGAAAAGCUUCUAUCGAGUUUAAAGGCGCCCGUACCGUAAACCGACACAGGUGGGUGAGGAGAGUAUCCUAAGGCCAGCGAGAGAACUAUUGUUAAGGAACUCGGCAAAAUGACCCCGUAACUUAGGGAGAAGGGGUGCCUGUCUAUGACAGGCUGCAGAGAAUAGGCCCAAGCGACUGUUUACCAAAAACACAGGUUUCUGCUAAGUCGCAAGACGAUGUAUAGGAGCUGACGCCUGCCCGGUGCUGGAAGGUUAAGGGGAUCUGUUAGAGCAAUCGAAGCAGUGAACUUAAGCCCCAGUAAACGGCGGCCGUAACAAUAACGGUCCUAAGGUAGCGAAAUUCCUUGUCGGGUAAGUUCCGACCCGCACGAAAGGCGUAACGAUUGGGCACUGUCUCAACAAUAGACUCGGUGAAAUUGUAAUCCUGGUGAAGAUGCCGGGUACCUGCGACAGGACGGAAAGACCCCAUGGAGCUUUACUGUAGCUUGAUGUUGGGUCUUGGUACUACAUGUACAGGAUAGGUGGGAGACUAUGAAGCAUGGACGCCAGUCUGUGUGGAGUCAUCCUUGGGAUACCACCCUUGUAGUACUGGGAUCCUAACCAUAGGCCUUGAAUCAGGUCUUGGAACACCGUCAUGUGGGCAGUUUGACUGGGGCGGUCGCCUCCUAAAAAGUAACGGAGGCGCUCAAAGGUUUCCUCAGCACGGUCGGAAAUCGUGCGAAGAGUGUAAAGGCAAAAGGAAGCUUGAUUGCAAGACAUACAGGUCGAGCAAGGACGAAAGUCGGACUUAGUGAUCCGGUGGUACCGCAUGGAAGGGCCAUCGCUCAACGGAUAAAAGCUACCCUGGGGAUAACAGGCUUAUCUCCCCCAAGAGUCCACAUCGACGGGGAGGUUUGGCACCUCGAUGUCGGCUCAUCACAUCCUGGGGCUGUAGUAGGUCCCAAGGGUUGGGCUGUUCGCCCAUUAAAGUGGUACGCGAGCUGGGUUCAGAACGUCGUGAGACAGUUCGGUCCCUAUCCGUCGCAGGCGUAGGAAAUUUGAGAAGACCUGUCCUUAGUACGAGAGGACCGGGAUGGACGUACCUCUGGUGUACCAGUUGUUCUGCCAAGGGCAUGGCUGGGUAGCUAUGUACGGAAUGGAUAAGCGCUGAAAGCAUCUAAGCGCGAAGCCAACUUCAAGAUAAGAUUUCCCACCGUAAGGGUAAGACCCCAGGAAGACUACCUGGUUGAUAGGUCGAAGGUGUAAGUGCAGUAAUGUAUUUAGCUUAUCGAUACUAAUAGGUCGAGGACUUGACC
rnacentral:rRNA from 1 species